CGUGAGGAACUUGCCCAUGAGCGGGGGACAACAUUCGGAAACGGAUGCUAAUACCCCAUAGGUGGAUUGGUCGCAUGACUAAUUCAUUAAAGGUGGCUCUGCUACCACUCAUGGAUAGCCUCGCGGCGUAUUAGCUAGUUGGUAAGGUAAUGGCUUACCAAGGCAGUGAUACGUAGCCGACUUGAGAGGGUGAUCGGCCACACUAGGACUGAGACACGGCCCAG
rnacentral:rRNA from 1 species